ACGAGAUGGACGAGAGGUACGAGAGGGACGAGAGGGACGAGAGAGACGAGAGGUACGAGAUGGACGAGAGGUACGAGAGGGACGAGAGGGACGAGAGGGACGAGAGGGACGAGAGGGACGAGAGGGACGAGUGCGACGAGAGGGAAAGGUGGGACGAGUGGAACGAGAGGGACGACAGGUACGAGAGGGACGAUUACCUUCUAUGACUCAAGCAAGGGUGUUUGCUUCUGCAGUUGUUGUGAAUCAUUUUGAAUAUUGACAUUUGUUAACGAAUAUUGGAACACUAACACAGUAAUGUAACAUAAGUAGAAUGCAUUAAACAGAAAUAUGAGACCGCAAAGAACAAAGCAUAUUGGGACCGUAGUCAUUGAUUAACUAUAAAUUAUAUAAUUAUUAACGUUUAGCCAAUACAUCAUAACCAAAUGAAUUUUGUACCUGCAACUUAAACAGAACGUCUUACAAAAAUUAAAUGAAUUGUUCAGCUCCAGUAUGAUGUUAAAUAAAACGUUGACCGUUAAACAUUAAACUCAACUGGUGCCGACUCUACUGCAUGCUCUGAUAAAAAUAUUUUAUCACAAUUGAGUUUAGGUUUCGUUGUAGUUUUGCUGAAGUAAAUUGUAGUAAAAUCUUUUUAUGAAACAUUGUGCUAUGAAACUUAUGCUAUACUCAUUUGAUUUUAACGUUUAACAUUCAACUUCUUAUAUCUUUAUAAAAACUGUUUUAAAUCCAUAAAAAUGUCUUGCUUUGUGGCACCAUGUUUAAUUUAU